rnacentral:rRNA from 1 species
GCAUAUCAAUAAGCGGAGGAAAAGAAACCAACAGGGAUUGCCCUAGUAACGGCGAGUGAAGCGGCAACAGCUCAAAUUUGAAAUCUGGCUCUUUUAGGGUCCGAGUUGUAAUUUGCAGAGGGCGCUUUGGCGUUGGCAGCGGUCCAAGUUCUUUGGAACAGGACGUCACAGAGGGUGAGAAUCCCGUACGUGGUCGCUAUCCUUCGCCGUGUAAAGCCCCUUCGACGAGUCGAGUUGUUUGGGAAUGCAGCUCUAAAUGGGAGGUAAAUUUCUUCUAAAGCUAAAUACUGGCCAGAGACCGAUAGCGCACAAGUAGAGUGAUCGAAAGAUGAAAAGCACUUUGGAAAGAGAGUCAAAUAGCACGUGAAAUUGUUGAAAGGGAAGCGCUUGCAGCCAGACUUGCCUGUAGUUGCUUAUCCGGACUUUUGUCCGGUGCACUCUUCUGCGGGCAGGCCAGCAUCAGUUUGGGCAGUUGGAUAAAGGUCUCUGUCAUGUACCUCUCUUCGGGGAGGCCUUAUAGGGGAGACGACAUGCAACUAGCCUGGACUGAGGUCCGCGCAUCUGCUAGGAUGCUGGCGUAAUGGCUGUAAGCGGCCCGUCUUGAAACACGGACCAAGGAGUCUAACAUCUAUGCGAGUGUUUGGGUGUCAAGCCCAGACGCGUAAUGAAAGUGAACGGAGGUGGGACCCCUUUGGGUGCACCAUCGACCGAUCCUGAUGUCUUCGGAAGGAUUUGAGUAAGAGCAUGGCUGUUGGGACCCGAAAGAUGGUGAACUAUGCUUGAAUAGGGUGAAGCCAGAGGAAACUCUGGUGGAGGCUCGCAGCGGUUCUGACGUGCAAAUCGAUCGUCAAAUUUGGGCAUAGGGGCGAAAGACUAAUCGAACUAUCUAGUAGCUGGUUUCCUGCCGAAG